rnacentral:rRNA from 1 species
UACGAGGGGGGCAAGUGUUGUUCGGAAUCACUGGGCGUAAAGGGCGCGUAGGCGGGCCCCCUUGUCCGGGGUGAAAGCUUUCGGCUUAACCGGAAAAGUGCCCCGGAAACGGGGGGCCUGGAGGGAGGUAGGGGCAGCCGGAACUUCCGGUGGAGCGGUGAAAUGCGUAGAGAUCGGAAAGAACACCAACGGCGAAAGCACUCUGCUGGGCCGACACUGACACUGAGAGACGAAAGCUAGGGGAGCGAAUGGG